GAGGGUGUAGCUCAGUGUGGAGUGUGUGCUUAGCAUGCACGAGGUCCUGGGUUCAAUCCCCAGUACCUUCA
rnacentral:tRNA from 1 species